AUGAACGCUGGCGGCAUGCCUUACACAUGCAAGUCGAACGGCAGCACGGGAGCAAUCCUGGUGGCGAGUGGCGAACGGGUGAGUAAUAUAUCGGAACGUGCCCAGUCGUGGGGGAUAACGCAGCGAAAGCUGUGCUAAUACCGCAUACGAUCUCUGGAUGAAAGCGGGGGACUCGCAAGGGCCUCGCGCGAUUGGAGCGGCCGAUAUCAGAUUAGGUAGUUGGUGAGGUAAAGGCUCACCAAGCCGACGAUCUGUAGCUGGUCUGAGAGGACGACCAGCCACACUGGAACUGAGACACGGUCCAGACUCCUACGGGAGGCAGCAGUGGGGAAUUUUGGACAAUGGGCGCAAGCCUGAUCCAGCAAUGCCGCGUGCAGGAUGAAGGCCCUCGGGUUGUAAACUGCUUUUGUACGGAACGAAACGGUCUGCUUUAAUACAGUGGGCUAAUGACGGUACCGUAAGAAUAAGCACCGGCUAACUACGUG
rnacentral:rRNA from 1 species